rnacentral:rRNA from 1 species
GACGAACGCUGGCGGCGUGCCUAAUACAUGCAAGUCGAACGGUCUUUUCUAUGGAAGCUUGCUUCCACUGGGAAGAUAGUGGCGAACGGGUGAGUAACACGUGGGUAACCUGCCCAUAAGAGGGGGAUAACAUCCGGAAACGGGUGCUAAUACCGCAUAGGUUUCUUGGUCGCAUGAUCGAGAAAGGAAAGACGGCCUUUGUGCUGUCGCUUAUGGAUGGACCCGCGGCGUAUUAGUUAGUUGGUGAGGUAACGGCUCACCAAGACGAUGAUACGUAGCCGACCUGAGAGGGUGAUCGGCCACAUUGGGACUGAGACACGGCCCAAACUCCUACGGGAGGCAGCAGUAGGGAAUCUUCCGCAAUGGACGAAAGUCUGACGGAGCAACGCCGCGUGAGUGAAGAAGGUUUUCGGAUCGUAAAACUCUGUUGUUUAGGACGAAAGUGCCUGUUGCAAACAGUUGCAGGUAUUGACGGUACUGAACGAGGAAGCCACGGCUAACUACGUGCCAGCCGCCGCCGUAAAAC